rnacentral:lncRNA from 1 species
CGCAUGGGUUAAACCUUCGAACCCCAACUAAAAUUCAGUCACCAAUCACCACGAAAACAAGUAAAGAAUGUAAAUUUGUAGGUUUGAGUUCAUAAGCCUCACCUGAGUCUCGAAAUGGGAACUCAGAGCUCUCGAGCUUGACCUCUUCGUCACUGAUCACACAUGCAAGGGUACCAGCUAAAUACCCAAAGCUUGAGGAUGUAGAAAAUGGUGGUGGUGGCUUGGUUUCGUGCAUAGAGAAGUGGAGAUGGUGAUGGUGGUUCUCGGUGACACAGAGAGAGAGAGAGAAUGAGCGAGUUCAAGAGAGGGAGAAAGUUUACAAAGAGAGAUAAUGUUUCCAGAAUGAGGAAAACAGAGGGACCGAGAGUGGGUUAAUCCCACUUCGAAAAUUUAAAUGAAAAUUACAAAAUCUAAACAGAGGUACCGAGGAUGUGGGAAUAAAAAAAAUUUCAUUACUGUCGGUUAAAACUGACAGAAAGUUUUUAAAAAAAUAUAAACCGACGGAAAAUUUUCAUUCUUGUCGGUUAAAACCGACAGUAUAAAAAAUGCCGGCAAAAUUCCCCCCAAAAUUCCCUCCCAAAAUUUUAAAUUCCCUCCCAAAAUUUUAAAUUCCCCCCAAAAUUUUGUUACUAUUUUAAAAAAUAAAAUAAUAAUUGUUUGGUUUAAUAAAUAAAUAAAAAAAUGUAUUUAAGUAGAAUAAGUUUUUAAAAAUUAAAUAAAUAAUUAUUUUUUUUCGUCGAAAAUAAAUAAUUGUUUGGUUUAAUAGAUAACUAUUAACUACAUCUUGUAAACUUUUUUUUUUGUCAUGUUCAUUGUUAAUUUGGAUAAUCCAAUUAAAAUAUUCCAAAAAAAUUGAACAUUUUGCUGUUAUUUACUAAUUGUGUGUAUCUUGUAAACGUUUUUUAUAUUUUGCCAUGUUCUUUGUUAAAUUGGAUAUCUUUUGUUAAUUAUUUAUAUAUUCGUUUAUUGAAAAUGAGAGUGUGAUUGAUUAUUAUUUUUAUUUAUUUUGAGUGUGAGAUUGAUUAUAAACAUACAUACUAUUUUGUUUUGUCUAAUAUAUAUAUACUGAUAUACUACAAAAUGUAUAAUAAUUCUACAUAAAAUAUUUACCAAAUAUUAUUGAAUUGCAUAUACAGAAGCACAAAGAUUGAUGUACAAAUGUCCGAAACUUAGAAAUUUUAAAUUAUGAUGAUGAUCUGAAAAUUUCAAAAAAAAAAAUUGUUUGGAAAUCACCCUACUGUUCCCAUACAACAACAACAAAAUGAAAUAUUAUCUUACUAAAAUUAAUCAAUUAUAUAAAUAAUAGAAUGCCACACAAUUUUGCUACACUCCUCAAUUUUGAUGUGAUACACAUUGUACGAAACGUUUUUCAAUGAUCUAACCGUCAAACUUGUUUGUACACACUCCGAGAUCACUUACGUAAAAAAUCACAAAAAAUAAACGUUCAGAGAUUAGGUAACGGAACAAAAGUUUUCGACGGUUAUAAACGAAAAAUCACAAUUUAACGGUUAUUUUAACUCCGGUUUUGAUGAUUUUUUUUUUCAGCUACACUCCUCGACCCUAUAAGAAUGUAAUGAACGAAUUUGAUCUUCAAUUUAAAAUAUUUACACUAGUUGAUACCACAAAAUCUUAUUUUAUACUUAAUAGAAGUAUAAUAUUAACUCUAAGUGUUGGUUUAAUCUACCGUUUUGAUGUGAUACGCAUUCUAUGAAACGUUUUUCAACAAUCCAACCGUCAAACUUGUUUGUACACACUCCAAGAUCACAUACGUAAAAAAUCGUAAAAAACAAACAUUCAGAGAUUAGGUAACGGAACAAAAGUUUUUUAUGGUUAUAAACGAAAAAUCACAAUUUAACGAUUAUUUUUGCUCCGAUUUUGAUGAUUUUUUUGCAGCUACACUUCUCGAUCCUAUAAGAAUGCAAUGAAUGAAUUCGAUCUUCAAUUUAAAAUAUUUACACUAGUGGAUAAAUCAUAUUUUAAACUUAAUGGAAGUAUAACAUUAACUCUUAAGUGUUUGUUAAAUCUAUCAAUUUGAUAGGAUAUGCAUUCUAUGAAACUAGUUUCAACGAUCCAACCGUCAAAUAUAUUUGUA